rnacentral:rRNA from 1 species
UAGUCCACGCCGUAAACGAUGUGUGCUAGUUGUCGGGCUCUAAGAGUUCGGUGACGCCGCUAACGCAUUAAGCACACCGCCUGGGGAGUACGGCCGCAAGGUUAAAACUCAAAGGAAUUGACGGGGACCCGCACAAGCGGUGGAGCAUGUUCUUUAAUUCGAAGCAACGCGAAGAACCUUACCUACACUUGACAUACUCGUCGGGAAUUUCAGAGAUGAUUUUCUUCGGUUCGGCCGGACGAGAUACAGGUGCUGCACGGCUGUCGUCAGCUCGUGUCGUGAGAUGUUUGGUUAAGUCCAGCAACGAGCGCAGCCCCUAUCGUAUGUUGCCAGCAUUCAGUUGGGCACUCAUGCGAGACUGCCGGUGUUAAGCCGGAGGAAGGUGGGGACGACGUCAAGUCCUCAUGGCCCUUAUGACCAGGGCUACAAACGUCCUACAAUGGCAUCUACAAAGCGUUGCAAGCGCGCAAGUGCAAGCUAAUCGCAAAAAGAUGU